GUGACUGAGUGGCGGACGGGUGAGUAACGCGUGGGUAACCUGCCUCAUACAGGGGGAUAACAGUUAGAAAUGACUGCUAAUACCGCAUAAGCGCACAGUACCGCAUGGUACAGUGUGAAAAACUCCGGUGGUAUGAGAUGGACCCGCGUCUGAUUAGCUAGUUGGCAAGGUAACGGCUUACCAAGGCGACGAUCAGUAGCCGGCCUGAGAGGGUGAUCGGCCACAUUGGGACUGAGACACGGCCCAAACUCCUACGGGAGGCAGCAGUGGGGAAUAUUGCACAAUGGGGGAAACCCUGAUGCAGCAACGCCGCGUGAAGGAUGACGUAUUUCGGUAUGUAAACUUCUAUCAGCAAGGAAGAUGAUGACGGUACUUGACUAAGAAGCCCCGGCUAACUACGUGCCAGCAGCCGCGGUAAUACGUAGGGGGCAAGCGUUAUCCGGAUUUACUGGGUGUAAAGGGAGCGUAGGCGGCCAUGCAAGUCAGAAGUGAAAGCCCGGGGCUCAACCCCGGGACUGCUUUUGAAACUGUAAGGCUAGAUUGCCGGAGAGGUAAGCGGAAUUCCUAGUGUAGCGGUGAAAUGCGUAGAUAUUAGGAGGAACACCAGUGGCGAAGGCGGCUUACUGGACGGUCAAUGACGCUGAGGCUCGAAAGCGUGGGGAGCAAACAGGAUUAGAUACCCUGGUAGCCCACGCUGUAAACGUUGAUACUAGGUGUCGGGUUCCAGAAGGAAUUCGGUGCCGCAGCUAACGCAAUAAGUAUUCCACCU
rnacentral:rRNA from 1 species